UGUCGAAGUUUAUAAGGGCACAUGGUGGAUGCCUUGGCACUAGGAGCCGAAGAAGGACGUUGUAGCCUGCGUUAAGCCUCGGGGAGCUGGCAAACGAGCUGUGAUCCGAGGAUGUCCGAAUGGGGGAACCCGGCCGUAGUCAUGUGCGGUCACCUGUACCUGAAUUCAUAGGGUGCAGGAGGGAACGCCGGGAAGUGAAACAUCUCAGUACCGGCAGGAAGAGAUAUUCCGUGAGUAGUGGCGAGCGAAAGCGGAUGAGGCCAAACCAUAUGCGUGUCAAGCUGUCAGGCGUUGCGUGUGUGGGGUUGUGGGACCUUUCGAGAGCCACUGACAUGGUUCUGACCAGUAAAAAAGUCGUGUCAUAGUCGAACCGCAUUGAAUGGCGGACCGUAGAGGGUGGGAGUCCCGUAGACGAAAUGGCGUGGCCUGGUGAAGGGGAUCCCAAGUAGCACGGGGCCCGAGAAAUCCCGUGUGAAUCUGGCAAGACCACUUGCUAAGCCUAAAUACUACCUAGUGACCGAUAGCGGACAAGUACCGUGAGGGAAAGGUGAAAAGUACCCCGGGAGGGGAGUGAAAUAGUACCUGAAACCGUGUGCCUACAAUCCGUCGGAGCCUCCCUAGCAGGGGUGACGGCGUGCCUUUUGAAGAAUGAGCCUGCGAGUUAGUGCUCGGUGGCGAGGUUAACCCGUGUGGGGAAGCCGUAGCGAAAGCGAGUCCGAACAGGGCGAUUCAGUCGCCGGGUCUAGACCCGAAGCGAAGUGAUCUAGCCAUGGGCAGGUUGAAGCGCCGGUAAGACGGCGUGGAGGACCGAACCCACUUAGGUUGAAAACUGAGGGGAUGACCUGUGGUUAGGGGUGAAAGGCCAAUCAAACUUCGUGAUAGCUGGUUCUCCCCGAAAUGCAUUUAGGUGCAGCGUCACGCGUUCCUUGCCGGAGGUAGAGCUACUGGAUGGCCGAUGGGCCUCACCAGGUUACUGACGUCAACCAAACUCCGAAUGCCGGUAAGCCAGAGCGUGGCAGUGAGACUGCGGGGGAUAAGCUUCGUAGUCGAGAGGGAAACAGCCCAGACCACCGGCUAAGGCCCCUAAGCGUGUGCUCAGUGGGAAAGGAUGUGGAGUUGCACAGACAACCAGGAGGUUGGCUUAGAAGCAGCCACCCUUGAAAGAGUGCGUAAUAGCUCACUGGUCAAGUGAUUCCGCGCCGACAAUGUAGCGGGGCUCAAGUACACCGCCGAAGCCGUGGCACUCACACUUUACCCAGCAUCCCCU
rnacentral:rRNA from 1 species